rnacentral:antisense_RNA from 1 species
CUUCAACGACCCCAGGUACAACGGUCGUUCGUCGUGCCGCUGUUGUCCGUACGUGGCCAGCAACGCGUGCGCCUC